rnacentral:rRNA from 1 species
GACAAGCGAGGUACCUGAUAAGGAGGCAAACCCCCUUAUCAAUGGGAAGACGUGAUGUGGAGCGAACCAAAGGGUAGCGAAGCAGGUGAGCCAGCCGUCGAGAAAAGCCGCUAUUGUUUUGUACGGACCCGUACCGUAAACCGACACAGGUGGAUGAGGAGAGAAUCCUAAGGCCGACGGGAGAAGCAUUGUUAAGGAACUCGGCAAAAUGACCCCGUAACUUCGGGAGAAGGGGUGCCUGAGGAAUCAGGCCGCAGAGAAUAGGUCCAAGCAACUGUUUAGCAAAAACACAGGUCUAUGCAAAACCGAAAGGUGAAGUAUAUGGGCUGACGCCUGCCCGGUGCUGGAAGGUUACGAGGAGUGCUUAGAGGCUUGCCUCGAAGGUGCGAAUUUAAGCCCCAGUAAACGGCGGCCGUAACAAUAACGGUCCUAAGGUAGCGAAAUUCCUUGUCGGGUAAGUUCCGACCCGCACGAAAGGCGUAAUGAUUUGGACGCUGUCUCGACAAUGCACCCGGUGAAAUUGAAAUACCAGUGAAGAUGCUGGUUACCCGCGCCAGGACGGAAAGACCCCAUGGAGCUUUACUCUAGUUUGAUACUGGGAUUCGGUACUGCAUGUACAGGAUAGGUGGGAGACUGUGAAUCUGUGACGCCAGUUGCAGAGGAGUCAAUGUUGGGAUACCACCCUUGUAGUAUUGGAUUUCUAACCAACAGCCGUGAACCGGCUGGGGGACAAUGUCAGGCGGGGAGUUUGACUGGGGCGGUCGCCUCCGAAAGGGUAUCGGAGGCGCUCAAAGGUUCCCUCAGAAUGGUCGGAAACCAUUCGAAGAGUGCAAAGGCAGAAGGGAGCUUGACUGCGACACCGACGGGUGGAGCAGGUAGGAAACUAGGACUUAGUGAUCCGGUGGUAUGAAAGUGGGAUUGCCAUCGCUCAACGGAUAAAAGCUACCCUGGGAUAACAGGCUUAUCACUCCCAAGAGUUCACAUCGACGGAGUGGUUUGGCACCUCGAUGUCGGCUCAUCGCAUCCUGGGGCUGUAGUAGGUCCCAAGGGUUGGGCUGUUCGCCCAUUAAAGCGGUACGCGAGCUGGGUUCAGAACGUCGUGAGACAGUUCGGUCCCUAUCCGGCGCGGGCGUAGGAUAUUUGAGAGGAGCUGCCCUUAGUACGAGAGGACCGGGGUGGACUGGCCUCUGGUGUACCGGUUGUAUUACCAAAUGCAUAGCCGGGUAGCCAAGCCGGGACGGGAUAAACGCUGAAGGCAUCUAAGCGUGAAGCCCCCCUCAAGAUAAGAUAUCCCUGACAAUAAGUCAAUAAGACCCCUUGAAGACGACGAGGUAGAUAGGUCCGAGGUGGAAGUGCAGUAAUGUAUGGAGCUGACGGAUACUAAUAGGUCGAAGGCUUGACAGA